UUGGGAAAGCGAGCGGCGGAUGGGUGAGUAACACGUGGGGAACCUGCCCCUAAGUCUGGGAUACCAUUUGGAAACAGGUGCUAAUACCGGAUAAUAAAGCAGAUCGCAUGAUCAGCUUUUGAAAGGCGGCGUAAGCUGUCGCUAAGGGAUGGCCCCGCGGUGCAUUAGCUAGUUGGUAAGGUAACGGCUUACCAAGGCGACGAUGCAUAGCCGAGUUGAGAGACUGAUCGGCCACAUUGGGACUGAGACACGGCCCAAACUCCUACGGGAGGCAGCAGUAGGGAAUCUUCCACAAUGGACGCAAGUCCGAUGGAGCAACGCCGCGUGAGUGAAGAAGGUUUUCGGAUCGUAAAGCUCUGUUGUUGGUGAAGAAGGAUAGAGGUAGUAACUGGCCUUUAUUUGACGGUAAUCAACCAGAAAGUCACGGCUAACUACGUGCCAGCAGCCGCGGUAAUACGUAGGUGGCAAGCGUUGUCCGGAUUUAUUGGGCGUAAAGCGAGCGCAGGCGGAAAAAUAAGUCUAAUGUGAAAGCCCUCGGCUUAACCGAGGAACUGCAUCGGAAACUGUUUUUCUUGAGUGCAGAAGAGGAGAGUGGAACUCCAUGUGUAGCGGUGGAAUGCGUAGAUAUAUGGAAGAACACCAGUGGCGAAGGCGGCUCUCUGGUCUGCAACUGACGCUGAGGCUCGAAAGCAUGGGUAGCGAACAGGAUUAGAUACCCUGGUAGUCCAUGCCGUAAACGAUGAGUGCUAAGUGUUGGGAGGUUUCCGCCUCUCA
rnacentral:rRNA from 1 species